rnacentral:lncRNA from 1 species
GAUAACAGAAGUAAGAGCAAUCACAGCGGUUAAAUCAUACAGUACUUGUCAACAGGAGAUUUUAUAUUGCAUGAGUUUAUACUACGAUGCUCAACAGCGAUCAAGUGCAUUCAUAACCGAGAAUUGCGGCGAUCCGGAUCUAAUUACAUCCUGCAGGAGAGUACCCUGAUCACCAGCAUUAUACGACUGUUCCGGUCGUAUCUCACAACCUCUCGAUUAGCAAAGUCAAUGAUUAGGAAUACAACUACCCGGACCCAGGGAUGCACCCCCACAUGGGACCCCACGUCUGGCCUGAUCUCCAUGUGAGUUUCAGGCUACACCCCUGCCAAUCUCCAACACGUCAAAUGCGGGUACGAAGCAUUCCUGAUCAUAGAAUUUACU